UUACGGCCACAUCACGUUGACGCACUGGUUCCAAUAGGAUCACUGAAGUUCAGCAACGUCGGGCCUGGUCAGUACUUAGUUGGGUAACCGCUUGGGAAU